rnacentral:tRNA from 1 species
AGUCCGGUAGCCCAGCGGCCCAGGGCGCCUGCCUCACAUGCAGGAGAUCGGGGGUUCGAAUCCCUCCCGGACGA